GCAGUCGCCGCGGGAAUACGAGGGGAGCUAGCGUUGUUCGGAAUUACUGGGCGUAAAGCGCGCGUAGGCGGCUUUUUAAGUCAGAGGUGAAAGCCCGGGGCUCAACCCCGGAAUUGCCUUUGAAACUGGAAAGCUAGAAUCUUGGAGAGGUCAGUGGAAUUCCGAGUGUAGAGGUGAAAUUCGUAGAUAUUGGGAAGAACACCGGUGGCGAAGGCGGCAACCUGGCUCAUUACUGACGCUGAGGCGCGAAAGCGUGGGGAGCAAACAGGAUUAGAUACCCAGUAGUCCCUGUCUCUUAUACA
rnacentral:rRNA from 1 species